ACGGAGGGGGUUAGCGUUGUUCGGAAUUAAUGGGCGUAAAGCGCACGUAGGCGGAUUAGUAAGUCAGAGGUGAAAUCCCAGGGCUCAACCUUGGAACUGCCUUUGAUACUGCUAAUCUUGAGUUCGAGAGAGGUGAGCGGAAUUCCGAGUGUAGAGGUGAAAUUCGUAGAUAUUCGGAGGAACACCAGUGGCGAAGGCGGCUCACUGGCUCGAUACUGACGCUGAGGUGCGAAAGCGUGGGGAGCAAACAGG
rnacentral:rRNA from 1 species